rnacentral:rRNA from 1 species
CAGUAGCCGCGGUAAUACGAAGGGGGCUAGCGUUGCUCGGAAUGACUGGGCGUAAAGGGCGCGUAGGCGGUUUGCACAGUCGGGUGUGAAAUUCCUGGGCUUAACCUGGGGGCUGCAUUCGAGACGUGUAGGCUUGAGUGGGGAAGAGGGUCGUGGAAUUCCCAGUGUAGAGGUGAAAUGCGUAGAGAUGUGGAGGAACACCAGUGGCGAAGGCGACUCUCUGGUCUGUAACUGACGCUGAGGAGCGAAAGCGUGGGGAGCGAACAGGAUUAGAUACCCGAGUAGUCCCUGUCUCUUAUAC